UGACUCUCGACAAUGGAUAUCUUGGCUCUUGCAUCGAUGAAGAGCGCAGCGAAAUGCGAUACGUGGUGUGAAUUGCAGAAUCCCGUGAACCAUCGAGUUUUUGAACGCAAGUUGCGCCCGAGGCCAAUUGGUUGAGGGCACGCCUGCCUGGGCGUCAUG
rnacentral:rRNA from 1 species